CCUACGGGGUGCAGCAGUGAGGAAUAUUGGUCAAUGGACGAGAGUCUGAACCAGCCAAGUAGCGUGAAGGAUGACUGCCCUAUGGGUUGUAAACUUCUUUUAUAAAGGAAUAAAACGAGGCACGUGUGCCUUUUUGCAUGUACUUUAUGAAUAAGGAUCGGCUAACUCCGUGCCAGCCGCCGCGGUAAUACGGAGGAUCCGAGCGUUAUCCGGAUUUAUUGGGUUUAAAGGGAGCGUAGAUGGGUUGUUAAGUCAGUUGUGAAAGUUUGCGGCUCAACCGUAAAAUUGCAAUUGAUACUGGCAGUCAUGAGUACAGUUGAGGUAGGCGGAAUUCGUGGUGUAGCGGUGAAAUGCUUAGAUAUCACGAAGAACCCCGAUUGCGAAGGCAGCUUACUAAACUGUGACUGACAUUGAUGCUCGAAAGUGUGGGUAUCAAACAGGAUUAGAUACCCCUGUAGUC
rnacentral:rRNA from 1 species